rnacentral:rRNA from 1 species
UACGAAGGGGGCUAGCGUUGCUCGGAUUUACUGGGCGUAAAGGGCGCGUAGGCGGCACUGUUAGUCAGGCGUGAAAGUCCUGGGCUCAACCUGGGAACUGCGCUUGAUACGGCAGAGCUAGAGGAUGGAAGAGGCUCGCGGAAUUCCCAGUGUAGAGGUGAAAUUCGUAGAUAUUGGGAAGAACACCGGUGGCGAAGGCGGCGAGCUGGUCCAUUACUGACGCUGAGGCGCGACAGCGUGGGGAGCAAACAGG